GUUGCGCCUUCGCUUUGUUGCCCUUCUCGCUGCCUGCUUCGUGGUAGUCAUGGCGAGCCAGAAUUGCACCCGUUACUGCCAGACUCCUGGGCAGACUGACCUGUGCUGUGAUCCCCCACCUCCCCCUCGCUGCCCCUACCCCCCUCCGUGCAUCGACUUCUUCGACGACAAGAUCCCCUUCUGCUACAGUGACCACCAGUGUCCACUGGGCCAGAAAUGCUGCACAGACGCCUGUUCCCAAAGGAAAGUUUGUUUGCCCGUCUGAGCCAUGCCCCGCCGAGUGCAUGGCCGCAGGACACAAGCUCUGGACCGACUGUUGAGGAACCGCGUGCUUGGCCAUUUUAUCGUUUUCUUGCUUGUGCUUCUCAUUCGUUUCUUUGUUAUUUUCCCUGUGGACGCCACCAAGACCUUUCUUCUGUUGGCUUAACAACUCUAAUCUUAAAUGCACAAUAUGAUCA
rnacentral:lncRNA from 1 species